AAAAUAGUUUUUCUAUUUUUUUGCAUAUUUAAUGGAGAAGUAGAUCCUUGUUUUUCCAAAUAUUUUAUCAGAAAAGACUAAAGGACAUUGUCCAAGGUAAACUCUCUUUUUCCCAAAAAUAGUUUCCUUGCUUUAACCACUUCAGUGUUAAGCCAUAUAAAUAGGUUAGAAGAGUGGGAACACAUACAAGUACAGCAUAGUUUCAAAUCCCAUUUAGUAGUAUAUAUAUAGUACCAAAUUUGACAGAUAUCUCAUGGUCAGCAACAUAGACUCAACCUCCUAAGAGAGAGAGAGAGAGAGAGAGAGAGAGAGAGAUGGAGGUUUAAUUGAAGGAUGGUGAGAACUUCCAUGAGGGCUCCCCAUUAAUAAUUGAAGAAAAGACAAACAUGGUUUGAGGAAGGGAAAAUGAAGAUGGAAAAGGAGGAGAGAAAUGAAGGCGAAUCGAGCAUGACGACACCGGAAUUUGAAGAAUUCUUCGAAUUGGUCGACAGAGAAGCGUUUCGUUUUCAAUUAAUGGACCAGAGGAGAAAUAUGAAUUCACAGAACAAAUUAGCAAAUAAUAUCGUCGCAUGGCAGCCGAAAUUCGAGAUCGAAGACUUCAAAAUCCCAAAUCUUGAUCAAACAAAAGUUCAUGUUAAACUUAUUGAUGGAGAAAAAAGUGAAAUGAAGGAACCAAAAGAUCAAAAGUCGACGAGAGGUACGAAAAGGGCAAGAGAAACUACUCCACUAGAUGUUAAUAAAAAGGAGAAACAAAAGAUGACUAGCAGCAGAGAAAUGAUGCUAGAUCUUAACAGAAGUAAUGAGUCCACCAAUAAUAAGAAAUAGUUAGCCAUUCAUUUAAGAUCCAGACGCUUUAAAUGAAGCUACACCAUGAGUAUGAGAAGAGAUCCAAACACUCUUGUACUGUUUAGAGAUCAGAGAAUGAUUAUAAGGUGUAAUCUUUGUCUAAAGAAUUAUGUCUGUGUGUUGUAAAGGUUUGUUACAUCUUUUACUCCCUGAAUAUUAUGUUUUGAUUUUAUGUUGUUGAUUAACACCUGUUCCUAAGGAAAUGAAUGUGGAUUGAUUCUUUCCUUCCA